AGCGAACAUUGGCGGUAGGCUUAACACAUGCAAGUCGAGCGAGGCGUAAUAGUCGAGCGGCGAACGGGUGAGUAAUACAUGGGAAUCUACCCUGAAGUGGGGGAUAACGUUCAGAAAUGGACGCUAAUACCGCAUAAUCCACAUUGGGAAAGCGUUGCAGCGCUUUAGGAUGAGCCCAUGGCUGAUUAGCUAGUUGGUGAGGUAACGGCUCACCAAGGCGACGAUCAGUAGCUGGUCUGAGAGGAUGAUCAGCCACACUGGAACUGAGACACGGUCCAGACUCCUACGGGAGGCAGCAGUGGGGAAUCUUGCGCAAUGGGGGCAACCCUGACGCAGCCAUACCGCGUGAGUGAUGAAGGUCUUCGGAUUGUAAAGCUCUUUCGGCGGGGACGACGAUGACGGUACCCGCAAAAGAAGUCACGGCUAACUUCGUGCCAGCCGCCGCCGUAACAC
rnacentral:rRNA from 1 species